rnacentral:rRNA from 1 species
UACGUAGGGUGCAAGCGUUGUCCGGAAUUAUUGGGCGUAAAGAGCUCGUAGGUGGCCUGUCGCGUCGGCUGUGAAAACUCGGGGCUCAACUCCGAGCUUGCAGUCGAUACGGGCAGGCUAGAGUUCGGUAGGGGAGAACGGAAUUCCUGGUGUAGCGGUGAAAUGCGCAGAUAUCAGGAGGAACACCGGUGGCGAAGGCGGAUCUCUGGGCCAUUACUGACGCUGAGGAGCGAAAGCGUGGGGAGCGAACAGG